AGUCCAUGAAGUGGGCAGAGCCUCAAUAUAUCCUUAUAUCUCUCCCUUGCUUCAAAAGAGAUUUGUUGUCUUUUUGCCUAAAUUCGUUGAUUUGGCUUCUUAGCAU